GAUGGAAAUUGUCCACCGGUAAUAUGCAUUGUCUAAAACUGUUUGCUUAUUCCAUAUUUAGUUCAAAAUGCAAUAAUCACUUCAUACCAGUACUUUUCUUGGCAGAGAUAUAAAAGGAGGAAACAUACUUGUGGGCCCUAAUGGUGAAGUCAAACUUGCUGACUUUGGGUUGGCUAAGCACAUAUCGUAUGAGGCUGCAAUACACUCUUUCAAAGGGAGUGCAUUCUGGAUGGCUCCUGAGGUUAUAAAGAGUAAUGGCAGUGGAAGGGGUUACAAUCUAUUGGCGGAUAUUUGGAGUUUGGCAUGUACUGUUAUUGAAAUGGCAACGGGGCAUCAUCCUUGGCAUGAACAUUGUAGACCCGGGGAACCAUGCCAUCCUCCGGUACGCUUUCACUUAGCAGGUGUAUUUAAAAGAUAACCGUAAUGGAUGAUGCUGAGUUGAUCUUCUCCAACUCCUGUCUUUCAGGAAGCGGGAGUGUUUUGGACGGCAAACUCUGACGGUACACCUGAAAUCCCAGAGAGUCUUUCGGAGGAAGGGAAAGAUUUCCUGAGGAAGUGCUUGCGACGUGACCCAGAGUCUCGCCCCACUGCAGCUCAGUUGAUGGAUCACCCUUUUGUGCGAGAUUAUUUUGCUUCUAUGGAGAGCCAGCCGAGCUUGCCACUGGCGUCAGCUUCACUGAGACGGCGACAGGGUCAGAUACAUAUAUAACGGUGUUAUACACAGGAAUUUGCAAAUUUCGUCGGGAUCUGACAACCUCGAUGAGUCAUGUAGCUUCGCCACUGUUUUGUGUGAGCAUCCGAAUUCCAGCGCAUUGGAAUACAAGGUUUUUACUUUUUUUUUAGAUUAAGGAAGGUUAUUACUUAGUACUCGUAAAGUAAGUCAGUCGAUGAACUGUACUAUAUACCUAUGAGUGGUGGUAUCGUGCACCAUAAAAGACCUCUUGUGAGCAGCCAAUGGAAUGCAUUUUGGCAUGACAUGGCCAAAACAAAAUGGGAUGUUACCACUACUAGCCUUUGUUGCCUUAACAUUUCUGUCGGGAGAUGCAAAUGCGACGCUGGUACAUAAACA